AUUUAACUACGUGUAAACGUUAUUUGGCGGUUUUUACUUGGAAAAUCAGCUGUUUUCUAGCAUUCGAAUAACUAUGAUAAACCUGAAACGAUAGAAGAAGGAUUGGAGAUGAAUUUCAUUUACAAAUAGCCUAAGGUGAAGCCGAGUUCCAAGACUCUUCGAAUUUCCUCAAUCAGGGACCAUAUUUUGCUGAACUACUCUUGCAGGAGGUGUCAAAGUGUGUGAAGUAGAGGUAUUAAGUCGGAAAUGAGUGCAGUCUCGUCUCCAUCGGUGUGUCCUCCGGUUUCCAGUGUCCCGUCUUCCCCAACGAUCAACAGCGGAUAUACCCGUCUCCUCUCGAGGUGUGAGCCUACCUCCAUUCCAUUAGUUCCUGGCAAGGCAAUUUUAUCCU